GACGAACGCUGGCGGCGUGCUUAACACAUGCAAGUCGAACGGAAAGGCCCUGCUCUUGUGGGGUGCUCGAGUGGCGAACGGGUGAGUAACACGUGAGUAACCUGCCCUUGACUUUGGGAUAACUUCAGGAAACUCGGGCUAAUACCGGAUAGGAGCUCCUGCUGCACGGUGGUGGUUGGAAAGUUUCGGUGGUUGGGGCUGGUCUCGCGGCUUAUCAGCUUGUUGGUGGGGUAGUGGCUUACCAAGGCUUUGACGGGUAGCCGGCCUGAGAGGGUGACCGGCGACAUUGGGACUGAGAUACGGCGCAGACUCCUACGGGACGCAGCAGUGGGGAGUAUUGCACAAUGGGCGGAAGCCUGAUGCAGCAACGCCGCGUGCGGGAUGACGGCCUUCGGGUUGUAAACCGCUUUCGACUGUGACGAAGCGUGAGUGACGGUAAUGGGUAAAGAAGCACCGGCUAACUACGUG
rnacentral:rRNA from 1 species